UACGUAGGGUGCAAGCGUUAAUCGGAAUUACUGGGCGUAAAGCGCGCGUAGGCGGCUUUGCAAGUCGGGUGUGAGAUCCCCAGGCUUAACCUGGGAACUGCAUUCGAGACUGCAUUGCUAGAGUAUGGGAGAGGGAAGUGGAAUUUCCGGUGUAGCGGUGAAAUGCGUAGAUAUCGGAAGGAACAUCAGUGGCGAAAGCGACUUCCUGGACCAAUACUGACGCUCAUGUGCGAAAGCGUGGGGAGCAAACAGG
rnacentral:rRNA from 1 species